AUGAUGGAGCAGCUCCUGGACGCUGCAAAGAACAUACAUGGAGCCGGCGUCAUCCACCGGGACUUCAAGCCGGAGAACGUCAUGGUCGGCUUCUUCGGCGGGCUCAAGGUUGGUGACUUUGGGUCGGCGAUGCGGGCGAAGCCGGCCGGAGUGCCCUAUGAGGAGUGCUGUGUCGGCACCCUGAUCUACACCUCACCGGAGCAGCUGGAAGGCAACCGGUACUACGGCCAGGCCGUGGACAUGUGGGCGCUUGGGUGCAUCAUGGCGGAGAUGUUGGCCGGCGCGACCCUCUUCGUGGCGGACACAGAGGAGGAGCUGCUCGCCGAGAUUUACAAGUUGCGAGAUCAGAUCACUUCUACGGGGAAGCUCGACCUGGAGUUCUUCGAGGAGCUUUCGGAAGCCGGGCGUGACGUCCUCACCGGCCUGCUUGCCUUCAACCCCGCCGAGAGGAUCACGGCGGCGGAAGCGCUCGAGCACCGGUGGUUCAGCAAGCCCAAAGGAGCAGAGCACCCUGGCUUUGUGUCGCUGAAGAGUUAA
rnacentral:rRNA from 1 species